UAGAGUUUGAUCCUGGCUCAGGAUGAACGCUAGCUACAGGCUUAACACAUGCAAGUCGAGGGGAAACGAUAGAGAAAGCUUGCUUUUUCUAGGCGUCGACCGGCGCACGGGUGAGUAACGCGUAUCCAACCUGCCCAUCACUUGGGGAUAACCUUGCGAAAGUAAGACUAAUACCCAAUGAUAUCUCUAGAAGACAUCUGAAAGAGAUUAAAGAUUUAUCGGUGAUGGAUGGGGAUGCGUCUGAUUAGCUUGUUGGCGGGGUAACGGCCCACCAAGGCGACGAUCAGUAGGGGUUCUGAGAGGAAGGUCCCCCACAUUGGAACUGAGACACGGUCCAAACUCCUACGGGAGGCAGCAGUGAGGAAUAUUGGUCAAUGGGCGAGAGCCUGAACCAGCCAAGUAGCGUGCAGGAUGACGGCCCUAUGGGUUGUAAACUGCUUUUAUAAGGGAAUAAAGUGAGUCUCGUGAGACUUUUUGCAUGUACCUUAUGAAUAAGGACCGGCUAAUUCCGUGCCAGCAGCCGCGGUAAUACGGAAGGUCCGGGCGUUAUCCGGAUUUAUUGGGUUUAAAGGGAGCGUAGGCCGGAGAUUAAGCGUGUUGUGAAAUGUAGACGCUCAACGUCUGCACUGCAGCGCGAACUGGUUUCCUUGAGUACGCACAAAGUGGGCGGAAUUCGUGGUGUAGCGGUGAAAUGCUUAGAUAUCACGAAGAACUCCGAUUGCGAAGGCAGCUCACUGGAGCGCAACUGACGCUGAAGCUCGAAAGUGCGGGUAUCGAACAGGAUUAGAUACCCUGGUAGUCCGCACGGUAAACGAUGGAUGCCCGCUGUUGGUCUGAAUAGGUCAGCGGCCAAGCGAAAGCAUUAAGCAUCCCACCUGGGGAGUACGCCGGCAA
rnacentral:rRNA from 1 species